UUUUUUUUUUUAAAUUCAGUUUUUUGAAGCUUGGAAUCAAACUUUUGUGGUCUUCAGCUGUUGCUUCAAUCAAUCAAGAGAGACCCUUCCGGCGAGACGCUCCCCCUCGGUGCGACGGAGCCGCGGCCUGGGCGACGGCGCGAUGUGUUGUGACAGCGGCAGCCGGGGGGGGGGGCCGGCGGGCGGUCACCGCGCGCCACCAUAUUGCCGGGGAUCCCCGGAGACCGCGGAUCAGCGUGCCAGCCUCGCCAAGAAGUGCUAAUAGGCGCAACACGUCUUGCUUUCACACAUUAAGGCGGGCGCGGGGUGACAGAUCGGAGCUGUGAUACCGCCGCCUGCGAGGAAGAAACGAGCCCGGGCCCCCGCCCGGCGCCAGGCGGCUAAUGACGACGGGUCCCGCGGCCGCGGAGCUCUUUGCUCUUUGUGCCGAGACUGACAGCCGUCGC